ACGACGCUGGCGGCGUGCCUAACACAUGCAAGUCGAACGAGAUCCAUGGGAGCUUGCUCCCGGAAGAUCUAGUGGCGAACGGGUGAGUAACACGUGAGAAACCUGCCCUGGAGUGGGGAAUAACUCGGGGAAACUCGAGCUAAUACCGCAUACCCUCGGAUGGUCGCAUGGCCGACCGAGGAAAGAUUUAUCGCUCUAGGAGGGUCUCGCGGCCUAUCAGCUAGUUGGUGGGGUAACGGCCUACCCAGGCAACGACGGGUAGCUGGUUUGAGAGAACGAUCAGCCACACUGGGACUGAGACACGGCCCAGACUCCUACGGGAGGCAGCAGUGGGGAAUCUUGCGCAAUGGGCGAAAGCCUGACGCAGCAACGCCGCGUGCGGGAUGACGGCCUUCGUGGUUGUAAACCGCUUUCAGCAGGGACGAAAAUGACGGUACCUGCAGAAGAAGCCCCGGCUAACUACGUG
rnacentral:rRNA from 1 species